UACGUAGGGUGCGAGCGUUAAUCGGAAUUACUGGGCGUAAAGCGUGCGCAGGCGGUCCUAUAAGACAGAUGUGAAAUCCCCGGGCUUAACCUGGGAACUGCGUUUGUGACUGUAGAACUAGAGUGUGGCAGAGGGGGGUAGAAUUCCACGUGUAGCAGUGAAAUGCGUAGAGAUGUGGAGGAAUACCGAUGGCGAAGGCAGCCCCCUGGGUCAACACUGGCGCUCAUGCACGAAAGCGUGGGGAUCAAACAGG
rnacentral:rRNA from 1 species